CAGAGUUUCUAACUCACAACCCAUCGUGAACAUACCUUUGUUGCUUCGGCGUGCCUAACCGCCGCCGAAGACCCUAAACUCUUGUUUUCUCAUGUGUUACUCUGAGUAAAUCUUGAAAUAAAUCA
rnacentral:misc_RNA from 1 species